rnacentral:rRNA from 1 species
GGCUUCGGCUGUUUCUGGUUGACUCAUAGUAACUGAGCUGAUCGCAUGGUCUUGCACCGGCGACGUGUCUUUCAAGUAUCUGCCGUAUCAACUUUCGAUGGUAGUGUAUCUGACUACCAUGGUGAUCACGCGUAACGGAGAAUAAGGGUUCGACUCCGGAGAGUUCGCCUGAGAAAUCGCGAACACAUCUAAGGAAGGCAGCAGGCGCGAAAAUUACCCACUCUCAGCACGAGGAGGUAGUGACGAAAAAUAACGAGACCGUUCUCUUUCGAGGCCGGUCAUCGGAAUGGGUACAAUUUAAACCCUUUAACGAGUAUCUAUGAGAGGGCAAGUCUGGUGCCAGCAGCCGCGGUAAUUCCAGCUCUCAAAGUGCAUAGAAUUAUUGCUGCGGUUAAAAAGCUCGUAGUUGGAUCUGUGCCAUAGGACGGGGUCCACCUUCGGGUGCGUACUCCGCUCCUAGGCUUUUUGCUGGUUUUCCCGUCGUAGCCUUCACUGGUUGCGGCGGGUGGCUGGCGAGUUUACUUUGAGAAAAUCAGAGUGCUCAACACAGGCGUCUUGCUUGAAUGAUUGUGCAUGGAAUAAUAGAAAAGGAUUUCGGUCCUCUUUUAUUGGUUUUGUGGACUGAGAUAAUGGUUAACAGGGACAAACGGGGGCAUUCGUAUCGCUGCGUGAGAGGUGAAAUUCUUGGACCGUAGCGAGACGCCCUACUGCGAAAGCAUUUGCCAAGAAUGUCUUCAUUAAUCAAGAACGAAAGU